GAAGAGAUGGCUCAGUGGUUAAGAGCUCUGGCUGCUCUUCCAGAGGACUGGGUUCAAUUCCCAGCAUCCACA
rfam:Neotoma lepida isolate 417 scaffold_179, whole genome shotgun sequence.